rnacentral:rRNA from 1 species
GACGAACGCUGGCGGUGUGCCUCACACAUGCAAGUCGAACGGGGUAGCAAUACCCAGUGGCGGACGGGUGAGUAACACGUAGGAAUCUGCCUUUAGAUGGGGGAUAACUGGCCGAAAGGUCAGCUAAUACCGCAUAUGCCGAAAGGUGAAAGGAGCAAUCCGUCUGAAGAUGAGCCUGCGCCCGAUUAGCUAGUUGGUAAGGUAAAAGCUUACCAAGGCAACGAUCGGUAGCUGGUCUGAGAGGAUGAUCAGCCACAAUGGAACUGAGACACGGUCCAUACUCCUACGGGAGGCAGCAGUGGGGAAUUUUACACAAUGGGCGAAAGCCUGAUGUAGCGACACCGCGUGAGCGAAGAAGCCCUUUGGGGUGUAAAGCUCUGUCGGCAGGGACGAAAAAAAUGACGGUACCUGCAGAGGAAGCAUCGGCUAACUACGUGCCAGCCGCCGCCGUAA